GCUGGUAUGCAGAAAAUUUGUAAAGCUUCUCAAAGCUGCUUCAGCAACAGGCAAGAAUUUAUACCAGAGCAGGUACCAGUACUUGUUGACUGGAAAGGCUGUUCUUCAAGGAGUUGCGCUCCACUGGCCUUUUCAGCAUCUCUGGGGAGUAAGAAAAGGUUUUGGUAUGAGCACCGAUGCUGUCAAACUGAGCAGUGUAAUCAAGGGGAUAUAAAAGUGCUUCAGAAGUCU